GUCUGUGGUGCCUUACUCGAGAGAGUAGCAAUCAUAUGGUAAUCACGUAUGAUUGAAACCUCUACGAGUAGUGUAACACAUGA
rnacentral:pre_miRNA from 1 species